rnacentral:rRNA from 1 species
UACGUAGGGUGCGAGCGUUAAUCGGAAUUACUGGGCGUAAAGCGUGCGCAGGCGGUUUUGUAAGCCAGAUGUGAAAUCCCCAGGCUUAACCUGGGAACUGCAUUCGAGACUGCAUUGCUAGAGUAUGGGAGAGGGAAGUGGAAUUUCCGGUGUAGCGGUGAAAUGCGUAGAUAUCGGAAGGAACAUCAGUGGCGAAAGCGACUUCCUGGACCAAUACUGACGCUCAUGUGCGAAAGCGUGGGGAGCAAACAGG